GCGGCGAGGACCUCCCUUAGGCGAAGUGACAGCAGCUGCGGCCCGAUUGUAAAUAGUUCCAUCCGCACAUAUUUGGAAACCAGCCUGUGCACAGAUGAGUGGGAACUGACAGUUGUACAUCUCUGAACCUGCAGCCUCCAGUCUCCGACAGGGUGAUGGAAGUCUGUCCAGCGGAAGGUGGCUGGGGAAGAUGUCAGAGGGUCAGUGACAGAUGUGGAGGAUCCAGCAGGAGUCACCCUGGCUUCUCACCCUUGCCUUCUGCGAGCCAGGACAAGUUCUCUGUUGUUUUGACAUCUCCAUGUCUUAUUUAA